UGUCAAUCAGGCUAGAGCCGACUUGUACCCUCGGCGCUGUGUAAAAUUUAACCAGCGCCGUUGAAAAAGCUUAUUAGGUGUUGGCUGUUCACUUUCUCUGGGCAUGUUCCCCUGAGCUCCUGGAGUUAGUGAGCAGGACCACAUCUGACCCCCAUCAGUAAAGAACCACCCAGGUGGAUCCACCACCAACACAUGGGAUUGCCAUUCCAGCAGCAGAGGUGGGGUCCAAAGCGCAAAGUGUGUCAGGGGCCUAUAAAUCAGGCCAAACUGCCUCUGACACACACAGGAAGGAGGCACGCCACACCGCAGGCGGAAGCGGUGCACGGGAAGACCAGAGACCACAGCCUGGCCAGAACCAGUAUAAUGCCUACAGCCAGGACCAGGGAGGCAAACACACAGCAGACAUUUACAAAAACACAUGCCAGCUAGCCCGCCAAAGACGAUGACGGACCGUAGAUUGACAUUUUUCCUUUUGGAAACGAGGAUUUGUGAUGUCUGAAGGGAAUGUAAUGGAAUUGGUGGGUUUAUGGAUCAGUAAGAGACCAACACAGACUCCACACUCGCAACUAAAGACGGAAAAAAGGUGAAUUGAAAUCAUCAAAACCUUUUACCUUUACAGGGAACACAGUCUAAAAAAAAAAAGAAAUCGAAAGGCAACAUUUUUCAACUAAACAAUGUCACUUCCCACAUGUUGGUGAGUAUACUGAGCAGCACCAGUGACAUAAAUCAGGAGCUGCUGACAUUUAUAGCGAAUGUUUACAAAGCCGUUUCUAGGAAGUGGAACACUACAUUUCAGAAGAGAAGCUCUUUGAUUAUCUCUUUAUCAAACCAGCCUUCACCACAUCGCAAAUGUCUCAAUGGAAACCUCGUCGAUGUGUGCGUUGGCGCAGGAGGUUGCACCAUCGGGAGAGCCCUGAUGAAACCAGUCAUAAAGGGGACACCCAUGCCCACUCGUACACCCACUCCCUGUCCCUGAUGGUGACUCAUUCUCGAUGGCUCAUCACGGAGGGGUUCCCCAAACUUGUACAGUGACGACACUUCAACUUUCACUUCUUCUAAAAUUGAUUCAGUGUUAACUGAGUCAAUUUUUCCAUCAGCCUUUGUGUCUUUUUCAUAAAAAAGUUUGAUGUGAUGGUGAAGCCUUGUUUAACCUUUCUACCUCCAUUAACCUUUUCUUACUUCUUGCCUCUGUUACUACAGUGCGGCACAGUGUGAGUCCCGUGUAUCUUAUAAGACAAAUGAUCAGAAAAACCCACCUGCUCUUACACCCCAUGAAUUUACAAUGAAAUAGGAAAUCCCAAUAUGAGUAGGCCUGCACAUAACUAUAUUACAGUAAAACAGGUAUCUCGCAAUGUCAAUAGAGAGUUACUUCUGCUUACAUUGCUCGUGUGUUCUCACAUAAGCAACUGAACGUUUUUAAUUCUAGUCCAAGACUGUAGAUACAUUUUAGACCAAUUUGGAGUGGAUAAAUAACCUUGCAAGCAUAGAUUCUGAUCAUCUACAUGCAGUAUCUCACAAAAGUGAGUACACCCCUCACAUUUUUGUAAAUGUUUGAUUAUAUCUUUUCAUGUGACAACACUGAAGAAAUGACACUUUGCUACAAUACUGCUGGUAUAACAGUGUAAAUUUACUGUCCCCUCAAAAUAACACAUCACACAGUCAUCAAUGUCUAAACCGCUGACAAUAAAACGUGAGCACACAAGUGUAAGUACACACACUAAGUACACACGUUAUACAAGCUGUACACUCACUACUUUACAUUGCAGCAAAGUGUCAUUUCUUCAGUGUUGUCACAUGAAAAGAUACAAUCAAAUAUUUACAUAAAUGUGAGGGAUGUACUCCCUUUUGUGAGAUACUGUAGUCUUCGUUUUGUAAUAUUUACAAAAAAGAACAAGAAAACCAAUCUAUCAAGGAAUACAACAAAAUUCAUCCUUUCUGAUGACUGAGUUUGACUUUUUAGGUGCGACAAAUCAGUAUUGAUACACAUUAUAACCCAGUCAAACCCAAUAUUAUGUUACACUAAUGUCAUGUCAUUCAGAUGUUACAUUGUCACCAAUAUCACAACAUGUUGAGGAAUUUCUUCUAUAUCUCCAGACACUGACACUGUUCUUUCUUUCCUUUUUGACAGUUUAUGGCUGUAUGAAUUCUGAAUAAAAUGGUGUUCAUGUUGCUGUAAGUGUAUUAAUAAAUGCUAGAGCUGUUUCACUUUGGCACACACA